GACGAACGCUGGCGGCGUGCUUAACACAUGCAAGUCGAACGAAGAGCGAUGGAAGCUUGCUUCUCUCAAUCUUAGUGGCGAACGGGUGAGUAACGCGUAAUCAACCUGCCCUUCAGAGGGGGACAACAGUUGGAAACGACUGCUAAUACCGCAUACGAUCUAAUCUCGGCAUCGAGGAUAGAUGAAAGGUGGCCUCUACAUGUAAGCUAUCACUGAAGGAGGGGAUUGCGUCUGAUUAGCUAGUUGGAGGGGUAACGGCCCACCAAGGCGAUGAUCAGUAGCCGGUCUGAGAGGAUGAACGGCCACAUUGGGACUGAGACACGGCCCAGACUCCUACGGGAGGCAGCAGUGGGGAAUCUUCCGCAAUGGACGAAAGUCUGACGGAGCAACGCCGCGUGAGUGAUGACGGCCUUCGGGUUGUAAAGCUCUGUUAAUCGGGACGAAAGGCCUUCUUGCAAAUAGUGAGAAGGAUUGACGGUACCGGAAGAGAAAGCCACGGCUAACUACGUG
rnacentral:rRNA from 1 species